CCUACGGGGGGCAGCAGUGGGGAAUAUUGGACAAUGGGCGAAAGCCUGAUCCAGCCAUGCCGCGUGUGUGAAGAAGGCCUUCGGGUUGUAAAGCACUUUCAGUGGGGAAGAAAGCCUUGGGGCUAAUACCCUCGAGGAAGGACAUCACCCACAGAAGAAGCACCGGCUAACUCCGUGCCGGCAGCCGCGGUAAUACGGAGGGUGCGAGCGUUAAUCGGAAUUACUGGGCGUAAAGCGCGCGUAGGCGGUCUGAUAAGCCGGUUGUGAAAGCCCCGGGCUCAACCUGGGAACGGCAUCCGGAACUGUCAGGCUAGAGUGCAGGAGAGGAAGGUAGAAUUCCCGGUGUAGCGGUGAAAUGCGUAGAGAUCGGGAGGAAUACCAGUGGCGAAGGCGGCCUUCUGGACUGACACUGACGCUGAGGUGCGAAAGCGUGGGUAGCAAACAGGAUUAGAUACCCGGGUAGUC
rnacentral:rRNA from 1 species